CGAAUAAUGAAACAGUACUGAAACAAAUUAACUCCAAGAAACUCAAACACCAGCCACACCUGGAACUACUUGACUUGCUUCUACCUGGAAUAUAAUACCUACGGCUCCUGCCUGAGCUGCUUGUCCAUGAUGGGCGUCCAUGAUCACCCUCGGUAGCUCUCCCCUGCGGUAGACGUCCAGGUGGCAGAACACCUCUUGGACAUCAUCAAGGUAUCAGAGAGGAGCGAGACCACAUGGAGAGACCCUGAAAUAACAUGGAGAAAGGAUGUCCCAGGUGAACCCCAGCCUGUAAGGAUGGACCCUCCAGACCAGCCUGGCUGCUACCUGAAUAUCACCAAAUGGCCCUGUCAGUACCAUAUGGAGCAGAAGAAUUGGCCAGCCAAGCCCUGCUCAAAUACUUGACCUAUAAAAUUGUGAGAUAUAAUAAAAUGUUUAUUGUUUUAAGCUAUUAAACUUGGGGGUAAUGUGUUCUGUAGAAGUAGA